GCCAGCAGCUAGCUCCCUGCAACUCUCACAUGGUCGCCCACUGAAGCUAAGCAGAGCUUCGCCCAGUCAGUACCUGGAUGGGAGACCACAUGGAAAAGCUUGGUUGCUACCGGAA
rfam:Danio rerio chromosome 5, GRCz11 reference primary assembly.